UCCGAGUUGUCCCCGGCAGUCCUUUUAGAGUCCCCGGCAUUACCCGCUGGCAACUAAAAGCAGGGGUUGCGCUCGUUGCGGCACUUAAGCCAACACCUCACGGCACGAGCUGACGACAGCCAUGCAGCACCUGUGCUAGCCCCUUACGGACACCGGCUUUCACCGGCUUUAACUAGCAUGUCAAGCCUAGGUAAGGUGGGGAUGACGUUUCCAGGUUAGG
rnacentral:misc_RNA from 1 species